rnacentral:rRNA from 1 species
AGUGAACGCUGGCGGUAGGCCUAACACAUGCAAGUCGAACGGCAGCACAGUAAUAGCUUGCUCUUACGGGUGGCGAGUGGCGGACGGGUGAGGAAUACAUCGGAAUCUACUUUUUCUUGGGGGAUAACGUGGGGAAACUUACGCUAAUACCGCAUACGACCUACGGGUGAAAGCAGGGGAUCUUCGGCCCUUGCGCGAUUGAAUGACCCGAUGUCGGAUUAGCUAGUUGGCGGGGUAAAGGCCCACCAAGGCGACGAUCCGUAGCUGGUCUGAGAGGAUGAUCAGCCACACUGGAACUGAGACACGGUCCAGACUCCUACGGGAGGCAGCAGUGGGGAAUAUUGGACAAUGGGCGCAAGCCUGAUCCAGCCAUACCGCGUGGGUGAAGAAGGCCUUCGGGUUGUAAAGCCCUUUUGUUGGGAAAGAAAAGCAGCAGGUUAAUACCCCGCUGUUCUGACGGUACCCAAAGAAUAAGCACCGGCUAACUUCGUG